rnacentral:snoRNA from 1 species
ACGACCUUACUUGAACAGGAUCUGUUCUAUAGGGAAGUACCUCUGUAUCCUUGAGUAAAAAGGAGACGGUAACCAAAGCCUGGUGGAUGAACCAGGACCGUGUGAUCAGAGCGUGAUUAUUGGCUGGAUAUCCUCCUAUAGAUGUGGGUUCUUCUAGCUAUAGAGGAUCGUUCUCAGUUGCCUUGGUAGCUGAGAUGGUCAUGCGGUUGUCUGACAGGCU